CGACGCUGGCGGCGUGCCUAAUACAUGCAAGUCGAACGAACGGAGCUAGGAACUUGUUCCCGGCAAAGUUAGUGGCGCACGGGUGAGUAACACGUGGAGAACCUACCCUUUUGCGGGGGAUAACCAUUGGAAACGAUGACUAAUACCGCAUAGAAUCGCAGAUCGCAUGAUCAACGAAGGAAAGACGGCUUCGGCUGUCACAAAAGGAUGGCUCCGCGGUGCAUUAGCUAGAUGGUGGGGUAACGGCCUACCAUGGCAAUGAUGCAUAGCCGACCUGAGAGGGUGAUCGGCCACAUUGGGACUGAGACACGGCCCAAACUCCUACGGGAGGCAGCAGUAGGGAAUCUUCCGCAAUGGGCGCAAGCCUGACGGAGCAACGCCGCGUGUGUGAAGAAGGUCUUCGGAUCGUAAAGCACUGUUGUUAGAGAAGAACGACCGCUAGAGUAACUGUUAGCGGAGUGACGGUAUCUAACCAGAAAGCCACGGCUAACUACGUG
rnacentral:rRNA from 1 species